UGGGGAAUUUUGGGCAAUGGGCGAAAGCCUGACCCAGCAACGCCGCGUGAAGGAUGAAGUAUUUCGGUAUGUAAACUUCGAAAGAAUAGGAAGAAUAAAUGACGGUACUAUUUAUAAGGUCCGGCUAACUACGUGCCAGCAGCCGCGGUAAUACGUAGGGUGCAAGCGUUAAUCGGAAUUACUGGGCGUAAAGCGUGCGCAGGCGGUUAUGCAAGACAGAUGUGAAAUCCCCGGGCUCAACCUGGGAACUGCAUUUGUGACUGUAUAGCUAGAGUACGGUAGAGGGGGAUGGAAUUCCGCGUGUAGCAGUGAAAUGCGUAGAUAUGCGGAGGAACACCGAUGGCGAAGGCAAUCCCCUGGACCUGUACUGACGCUCAUGCACGAAAGCGUGGGGAGCAAACAGGAUUAGAUACCCUCGUAGUCCCUGAGCGGGCUGGCAAGGCGCAU
rnacentral:rRNA from 1 species